rnacentral:lncRNA from 1 species
CAACUGGAGUGUCUUUUAAAAUCUGGUGAUCUCUUGCAUGCUUCAUGUUGGCGUGAAAGCCAAAGCUAAUAUUUAGGAAGGGAAGGUACCUGUGCCAGCAGAGGUGUCAUGGGGACAGUUCAGAAUAGAGCCUUUGCUCUUUUACAGUGUGUGAGCUGAUUCACAGACAUUUUGUGUUUAUAGCACUCAGCGACAACCUGCAUGCAAUGUUUCUACUGGAUUUUAUCCCCAUCCUUGAUUAUGGGACGCUCUUCACAGACACACUUAACUUUGAUUGUGAAGAUGGGGCUUGAUGAUUUCAGAAACAUAGUUAAGAUAAGCUAAAUGCUGAAGAUUGCUAUUUUGAAAACCACUGUGAAUUUGCUUAUUUGGCAUGUAGAUGGAGAAUAAUAAGUCUUGUUACUAGUAUCACAAAUAUUCAGGCAAACUUUUACCCUAUAUUACUGAUUACUCCUCAGGACUCAGGUCAUUCUAAAUGUCCAUUGGGUGGUCUUUCUUCAGUGGCACAGGCCAUCAGAAGUGUUUAUAAAAUAUUGAAUACAGCUCUGGAUAAUUCAAGCAAAAAGGGAAUUGAUUAGAAGGACAACGGUAGUUCAUUAUAAUUAUAAGAAAAUAGGAGAUUAGGUUCAGAAAUAAACAACAACCAACUGUGGGCCUGAUGGCCAAGGCCAAGGUUGCACUGUGCUCUCAUCAGGGCCUCACUGCUGGCACAACUCUUCCUGGACCUCCCCAACCCCUUUUAGACUCUUGACUCCUCCACUGCCACCAAGAAUGUCAUGACUGCCUCCCUUAAGAAACAAAGUCUGAGGUGGGACUUUCCAAUUGGCUGAGCCUAGGUCAUGUGCUCAAGUGCCAGUCACAGGGGACUCUGGGAGUGGGGAUUAUCUGACACCCUUUGGCUUUCCCCUUAGGAAAUCUACCAAGACCCACCCAAUGGGGAACUGUUCCUAACAGAGAGUUCAAUGCCUCAUAGCCAAGAACAAAACAAAACAAAAAAACAAGAAAUGAGAAUUGAUUGCCACGGGGACCGACAUGAGAAACUCUCUCUUGCUCAUCUUGAAGAAGCCAGUUGCCAUGGUGGAAGAGUGUCUGCGAGGAGGCCAUGUGGCGAAGAACUUCCAGGAAGACUCUAGAAGCUAAUAGUAGCUCCUGGCUAACAACUCGGAAGAAAACAGGGACCCCAGCCCUAUAGUUUCAAGGAACUGAACUCUGACUGAAGCCCAGCUGUCACCUUGAUUGCAGCCUUGUGAAACCCUGAGCUGAGUCCAGUCAUGCUGAGCCAAGGCUCCUGACCCAAGGAAAACGUGUGCUAUUAAAUGGGUGUUAUUUUUGAGCCCACUAACAUUGUGAUAGUUUGCUAUAUCCUAUAGAAAGCAAGUACAGUGGGCUUUCCAUUCAUUUCUAUAACAGUCUUCAUAAAUUUAUCUUUAAAUCAAUUAUUCUCAAACUCUGUGAAGAAUCAACGUUUUAAUCUCCAAUUUAUCUAUGGAAAAAUACUUUUAUAAAGUGAAAUAAAAAUGAAUGACUAGAAAAAUUUAAAGGACA